ACAACAAAAACAAGGGGAGCUAGUGUGGCAGGUUGAGUGUUGCUCCUCCUCCACUCAGGUGAUUUCUGGUGGGCAGAUUGCAGAUUGGUUUCACCUGUAUAAGUGCUGCGCCUUCUCUGGCGCGCACACUGCUGCCUGGCACUCGUGGCGAAGACUCGGUGUGGCGUCUGUUAGUUGUUGGUUUGUUGUCGGUUGGUGUGGCGUGCUUCAGUCACUUGAAGCGUUGUUGGCCGUGUUGUUCGGGGGCGGCAUUGUGAAGAGUGAGGGGAGUGUGGCAUCCGCUCUGUACUGUUGCCGCAGCCGGUGAUCAGUUUCGGGGGCGUAAAGCUCUCUUCGUUCGGCUGUUGGAGCCGCAGCGGUGCUUUUGCUUUUCUUCCUCCUCCUGUGCUCUGGUGAAGCUGCCCUGCACGGCUCUGUGACGUAGCCUACACCUGGCGAUCCCAAACGUAAACCAUCCACGGCCUCCGGUCCUGGGGCGGUCGCUCUGUCUUCGCCAGCCACUCCGUCUUCUCCAUCCACUCCGUCGUCUUCAUCAUCUUCGGCUGCUCCGGCACCGUUGCCUUUUUCCACACAGUCCGAUGUGGCGGUUGCAUUCCCGCGCAGCGCUAAGUUUUCAGUCCCACCACAACUCUUAUUGGUUUGGUUAAUUGUCUGCUUUUCCUUUCAUCUUUUUGUGUUUGUGUUCUUUAGUUUAUUUGUUUGGGUUAAAUCCUAUACAUACAUAUAUUUUUGUGUUGCGUUUUGUUGACCCAUUUGGGGUUAAGCAUAUCAAUAUUUUCUUAUUAUUUCUGAUCUAUUGCUUUGGGGUUCAACUGAUUAUUUUCUGUUUAGUUUAACGUAGCUGUUGGGUUUGUGUUUGGGGUGUUAAAUACGCCUGGCCCCCACCCACAGUUAAAUUUCGUUUGUUUCCUUAUUACUUGUCUUAAGAAUUAGUUGGGUUUCUGUAUAUUUGUAUUUGGGUUUAAAUAUUUGGUUAUGAGUCAGUUCUGUUCCUGUGUGUGGGUGUGAGUGCUGUGUGUGUGUGUAUGUGUGUGUUUUAUUAUAGUCCUCUGUUUUAAAUGAUUGUCGUAACAACCUGAGUGUCUCACCACAACAGUAGUGUAAUUUUUGUGUUUCUUUCUUGUGUUUCCAGGACAGGAGCUGGUGCAGCGGGCGGCAGGCUUGAUGGCCAGAGCAGUGAUGGAAGCCUUCCCUGAGUUCCCCAAAAGGUCCCCCAGAACUUCUCAACAAAAAGGAGAGCCAUGGAAGAGACGAGGGGAGAUAUAGCUCUCCAAGUCCUUGAAUCAUCAGUCUUUGAUGAGGAGACUUGUUCGAUGUGUGGAGCUGACAAGCCCCCUGGACAAGCACCUCCCGUUACAGACUGGGUGAGUUGUUGUGAGCAGCACUUACAUUUUGUAACGUAAUGUGACAUACAGUGUUGGUAGUAACUAGUAACAAAGUUAAUUAAAUUUUGAUAGCAAUAUGUAAAAAGGCCAAGAAAGUUGAAGGGGUUCAAUGUUCACAGAAAACUUUCUUUGAGUCAAAUUUAACCUUUGCUAUAAUCUGCUGGUUUGGUGACCUGAGUCUAAACAACAAAAACAGGGUUCGUUCUACUCGGUCUACUCUCAGAACAACGAGAGGCAAUGUUGAUAUUAUGACCAAAAGGGGGCGUGCCUCCGUGAAAUGCGGCAAGACAGCUGGGAGAUGUAGCCUAGGCCUACACCUUACGACUCGUACGGCCAGUUCCUAACACCUGGAUCGCGGCAUAACUGUCCUUCUCUUCCUUUCUUCAAAGCUCAUCUCAAGACCUUUCUGUUUAAUGAUCACUUCUCUCCCACUCCAAACACAUAGCUCUAUCCUCUAGAGCAGGCAUCUCCAAACGGCGGACCGCGGUCCGGGUCCUAAUCCAAACACACAUCCUUCGAGGAAAAGUAUCCCCAGAAGUCAGAAAUCCAGUGUGAUAAAUGUGACCGGUGGUUCCAUAACCUUUGCUUGAACAUAGACCAAAAUAAGUUAAAGGAAGUCAAGAAAAGGCAAUAGCUGUGUGUUUUAGGCCGAUGACAAGGUUGAGG
ensembl:lncRNA